rnacentral:rRNA from 1 species
CGGGGGAUAACAUUCGGAAACGGAUGCUAAUACCGCAUAUCUUUUUGAACCGCAUGGUUCUUAAACGAAAGACGGCUUCGGCUGUCGCUCUUAGAUGAUCCCGCGGCGUAUUAGUUAGUUGGUGGGGUAAAGGCCUACCAAGACCAUGAUACGUAGCCGACCUGANAGGGUGAUCGGCCACACUGGGACUGAGACAGGCCCAGACUCCUACGGGAGGCAGCAGUAGGGAAUCUUCCACAAUGGGUGAAAACCUGAUGGAGCAAUGCCGCGUGAAUGAAGAAGGUCUUCGGAUCGUAAAGUUCUGUUAUUAGAGAAGAACAAGUCAAGGAGUAACUGUCUUGACUUUGACGGUACCUAACCAGAAAGUCACGGCUAACUACGUG